rnacentral:lncRNA from 1 species
UUGCUGAGGAACAGAGCUUGCUUAAAAAACCUUCUAGCUGCUUGUCACACAGCGUUCUCCUGGGAAACCAUGGAUGCAUUCAUCUGGAUCUACAUACUAACCAUGUAAGGUACUUAUUAUCUGCAGUUGUGUCCUCCUCAUUCCCAUAUGAGGAGAAAACCAGGCAAAAAUGGGAUGAGGCAUACGUGCUGCUUGACUGGGAAUAAAGGAGGACUUGAAUCACUGUGCAGGAAAAUGCUCUGGGGUCCUCUAACUGCACAAAAAAAUGUAAGAUUUACUUUGAUUCCUUUCUGUAAGAAAAUUUAAAGCUGGAGCAGGUUUUUUCUUUUUCUUUUCUUGUCCUCUGCUUUCCUCCAGAUUUGUCUGCUUGUCCUUCACUGUAACUUUCAUUUUACCAUGGUUGAGUCUGCCUUCAUAUAAAUAGCAGAUGCUUCUGGGACAUUGUUAUUGUGCUUUCCUGGUUGGCAAUGGUUUGGGCAGCCCUGGCUGCAGUGUUGAGCAAGAUACAGCUGGCUAAGUAGGAAGCUGUGAAGGACCUCUUGAAUCUGGUUUCCUGCAGCUUCACAUCAAGGAAAGGGCCAUGAUCACUCUUUCUGUAAUUAAGGGAAAUUACAUGUAAGGAGAAAAGUGUCCUCCUGAUCUCAGAGGACAACUCCCCCCAUGCAGCAGCAGGAUUUUGACAUCCCUCCCUUGGCUGCCAGGAGCCAAUACUCUGUGGGCACGAGCCUGCACAGAACCAGGGAGCUGUGAUUUUUGCCUGGCCUUAUGGAAUGUGUAACCCUCUGGGAGCUCACUGCGGGCAGGGGCGGCAGCUGCUGCUGCUCCUGCCGCAAAGCCGAGGCAGAUGAGCUGAGCUUCGUGGAUCGCCUGGAGACCUGAGACUUUGUGCUCCCAGCUCCUGGCUUUACCACAGUCAGCCUGGUGCAUUGAAUUGCUGCAGGUACAGAAGGAGCUAUCCUUUCCCUUGGUGUUCAGCAGAGAUAAAGAAACCCCUGUCAGGGCGGUGGUGCGGAUGCCGGGCCCAUUGCAGCUGCAGCAGUGCUUAGGCACUUGUUUCCCAGGCUCUGGGCUUCACCCUCAGCAGGGAUUGGGAGCACUCACAUGGAGAUGGAGAGGCCAGUAGCAACAAGGUGAAUUCCUGUGAGGAGCAUUGACUUGGUGGACUUUUCCUGUGGGGCCAGAUGUUAAACCCAGAGAGGUGCAGAAAGAAGAAAGCAAAGUGCAGCUGGAUUGUGGGUUGAGCCAAGCCUGAUGCUGUCUGCUGAAAAUACAGAACUGCAGCACAAACUGCUGUGAGGAGGUUACU